rnacentral:misc_RNA from 1 species
AGUUGUUCCCUGUCGCAAUUAUAGAGAAGUACAACAAGAAUAGAUAUGCAGAAGAGUGGUAGUGUCUCGAGGAAUACUAACGGCACUGUUACUGGUAUCAAUCAUAGUAAAUCUCUAUUUCAUCAGCAGUCUCUCAGGAGGUUGGGAUUGUGUUCCCAAAUAACCACGGCAGGGGGACAGCACUCGUCCCCAAUUGUUUUCCCCGAGAAACGUAGCAAAAAGGUCAAAGCCUCUUCCAAACCCGAUGAUCCAUUGGAAAUAGGCAAGGUACAAGAGCAUAGAAUAGACAUAAUAGGUGGAGGAGACGAGAAGUCUGAUUUGUUGGGAUGCGUUGUCUUCUCUGGCAAACUCAUUUUGGACAAGAGAAAGACCACCUUCCGUGAUAGUAGUCAUGCCAAAGAUGCACAACAGCAAAGUUCUAUAGACGUUUCCUACCAAGAAGCUCUCGAUGCUAAGCUUACCAGCAAGGCUUUAGUUUGGGGUUCUCACAUGCUGCAUCUUGAUGAUGUUAUUUCGGUAUCAUACCAUGUUGGUCUCAGGCAUUUUACUAUUCAUUCUUAUCCGAUUAAAAAGGGUUCUUGUGGUCUAUCUUGUUUUUUAAAACCUAAAAGAAUUCGCAAGGAUUAUCGGUUCUUAGCUUCUAGUGUGGAAGAGGCACUUCAGUGGGUUGGUGGAUUAGCAGACCAGCACUGUUAUGUGAAUUGUUUGCCUCAUCCUUUGGUUUCUUCAAAGAAGCAAGCUUCUUCGGAGUUACUUCCGACUGACACUCCUCCCGAGUUACUCUUCAAGUGUAAGAGUCCACCCAAAAUGCUCGUCAUCUUAAAUCCUCGUUCAGGAAGUGGACGAUCGAGUAAAGUUUUCCAUGGCAUUGUGGAACCAAUAUUUAAGCUUGCAGGGUUUAAAUUGGAGGUAGUCAAAACAUCAUCUGCAGGUCAUGCUAGGAAGCUUGCGUCUACCGUUGACAUCAGCACAUGCCCUGAUGGGAUUAUAUGUGUAGGUGGUGAUGGAAUUAUCAAUGAGGUUUUAAAUGGCCUACUUAGUAGAGAUAACCAGAAAGAAGGAAUUUCAAUACCAAUUGGUAUUAUACCGGCUGGUUCUGAUAAUUCACUAGUUUGGACAGUUUUGGGAGUUAGAGAUCCGGUUUCUGCUGCUAUUGCUAUUGUGAAGGGGGGUCUGACCGCUACGGAUGUCUUUGCUGUUCAGUGGAUUCAGACUGGUGUUGUUCACUUUGGGUUGACCGUUUCAUACUAUGGUUUUGUUGGUGAUGUGUUGGAACUUUCUGAGAAAUAUCAGAAGCGCUUUGGUCCAUUGCGUUAUUUUGUUGCUGGAUUUCUCAAGUUCUUAUGCUUACCAAAAUACAGCU